GACGAACGCUGGCGGCGUGCUUAACACAUGCAAGUCGAACGGAAAGGCCCUGCUUUUGUGGGGUGCUCGAGUGGCGAACGGGUGAGUAACACGUGAGUAACCUGCCCUUGACUUUGGGAUAACUUCAGGAAACUGGGGCUAAUACCGGAUAGGAGCUCCUGCUGCAUGGUGGGGGUUGGAAAGUUUCGGCGGUUGGGGAUGGACUCGCGGCUUAUCAGCUUGUUGGUGGGGUAGUGGCUUACCAAGGCUUUGACGGGUAGCCGGCCUGAGAGGGUGACCGGCCACAUUGGGACUGAGAUACGGCCCAGACUCGUACGGGAGGCAGAAGUGGGGAAUAUUGCACGAUGGGCGGAAGCCUGAUGCAGCAACGCCGCGUGCGGGAUGACGGCCUUCGGGUUGUAAACCGCUUUCGCCUGUGACGAAGCGUGAGUGACGGUAAUGGGUAAAGAAGCACCGGCUAACUACGUG
rnacentral:rRNA from 1 species